CGUGGUUCUUUGUCUGGAACAGAUGCUCACCCCACACCCCCAAAAAACUGCUUGGUCCAAAAGAUGGAGAAGAUGAGCAACAGAGAGACGCUGAGGAUGACAGCCAGCAGACCCUAGACCUCUGCCACUGCUUCGGGACAGGGAAGAGGAAGUGAAGACAUGCAGGAGGAGGGUGGAACAGCUCUGGCUGAAGCUCAGAUACUUUGCCAAAGAUCCUCACCAAUGAAUGCCUCCCUCUGUGGACAAUUCGUCCUUUCUACGAGCAGUCAUUGAGUUAAUGAGAGCUCGCCACAUGCCAGGUGCUGUGCUAGGCACUGGGUAAAUAAUGGGGAACAAAAUAGACAUUGUCUUUGACCUCAUGACAUUUAGAGUCAAGUGAGGGAAAGAGACAUUUAAUGAGUAAUGAGCAAUAAAUACACAAUUUUAAUUAAUACUAUAAAGGACAAAAAGGAAAAUGGGCUUAGGGGACUUGUUGCUUCAGGUGAGAUCACCAGGGAAGCUUUCUCCAGAGAGAUGAUAUGAAAGCCAAGACCAGAGGAUGAGAAGAAUCCAGCCCUGCAGGGUGGAAGAAGAGCAUUCGAGCUCAAGGGAACAGCACGUGUCAAAGCCUUAAGCAGGCUUCUGUUUUCUGAAGUUCCAUGGCCAAAGCUGUAAAGGGAUGCUCAAGAGGAGGGAUGAUCACUGUUGAAUCAGCACCUGGGCCCUUAUCUGCCAUGGUCACCUCAGGCCUUGUCUGUGGCUUCAGAGUCUGUCUCCAGGAGGGACUCUGGCCACUUAACCACCAACGACUCACUCUCAAGCCAGGACAUCCCAAUACCACCCCAAAGACAUCGCCUCAGUCUGUGAGCAGGUCAGUCAGCCAAAUAUCCAUUGUCUGUAGCAUCACCCCAAUACUUUCAACCUCCAGAGGAGAGAGGUGAAGAACUAGCAUUUUUAUAGGACUUCCCAGUUUACAAAGGGCCUCAGUCCUGGCCGGGGUCUAAGUGUGGUAACUCACAUCUUGAUGGUAUAAUUUGCCUUUUGCAAUUUUUUUUUCCAUUUGCAUAGACCAUUUGAUUCUGUAAAACCACCCUCUGAAGGAAGCAGGAUCAGGAGUCGACAGUGUGCAGCUAUGGAACCAGACUUCUUCGCUGUGAGGUCUUAGACAAAUGGCUUAACCUCUCUGAGCUUUGUUUUCCUCUGUAAUAUAGACUAAUGAUCUCACCUUAUGAGCUUGCUGUGAGGAGGGGAUAAUGACUGUUAUGUGUCCAGCAAAGCACAGCAGAUGCUCAAUACACAGGUAGCAUGCUAUUUUUACACUCAUUUUAUAGAUGGGAACAUCAAGGCUCAGAAUGGUGAAGUGACUUGCCCAAGGCUUCACAGCUAAAGAAUGGCUGAGCUUGAAAGAUGAUCCCAGGAGCCCUGCCUCCCAGGACAGCGUUCACCCGGUCAGUGGACGAUGCUGCUUCUCAGGAUGCAGGGCCCCGUGAGCCGUCCCUCCACCACCCUCCCUGGUUCCUUACCUGCUCCCUCAGCGCCUCCUCCACCUGCUCCAGCUCCUUUGCCUAGCACGGCC